rnacentral:rRNA from 1 species
UGCGGAGGGAUCAUUACUGAGUGAGGGCCUUCGGGCUCGACCUCCAACCCUUUGUGAACACAACUUGUUGCUUCGGGGGCGACCCUGCCGUUUCGACGGCGAGCGCCCCCGGAGGCCUUCAAACACUGCAUCUUUGCGUCGGAGUUUAAGUAAAUUAAACAAAACUUUCAACAACGGAUCUCUUGGUUCUGGCAUCGAUGAAGAACGCAGCGAAAUGCGAUAAGUAAUGUGAAUUGCAGAAUUCAGUGAAUCAUCGAAUCUUUGAACGCACAUUGCGCCCCUUGGUAUUCCGAGGGGCAUGCCUGUUCGAGCGUCAUUUCACCACUCAAGCCUGGCUUGGUAUUGGGCGCCGCGGUCAAUCCGCGCGCCUCAAAGUCUCCGGCUGAGCUGUCCGUCUCUAAGCGUUGUGAUUUCAUUAAUCGCUUCGGAGUGCGGGCGGCCGCGGCCGUUAAAUCUUUCAAAGGUUGACCUCGGAUCAGGUAGGGAUACCCGCUGAACUUAAGCAUAUCAAUAAGGCCGGAGGAAA